rnacentral:antisense_RNA from 1 species
GGGUGCUUGAGGCUGUCUGGCGUUAAGCAUUCGCGAGGUUCCAGAUGGACAAAAGCCCCAGGCGAUAUUUCUAUCAACCUGUACUGCACCCAUUUUGUUGGACGAUGAAAUGGAAUAGCCCCUAAUAUGUCAAAGCCAAAAUACCCUUUUGAAAAG